AUUGAACGCUGGCGGCAUGCCUAACACAUGCAAGUCGAGCGGAGCGGCGGACGGGUGAGUAAUGCCUAGGAAUCUGCCCGGUAGUGGCGGAUACAGUCCGGAAACGGGCGCUUAUACCGCAUACUAUCAGAUCAGCCUUGGUCGGAUUAGCUAGUCGGUGAGGUAAAGGCCUACCAAGGCGACGAUCCGUAACUGGUCGGAGAGGAUGAUCAGUCACACUGGAACUGAGACACGGUCCAGACUCCUACGGAAGGCAGCAGUGGGGAAUAUUGGACAAUGGGCGAAAGCCUGAUCGAGCCAUGCCGCGUGUGUGAAGAAGGUCUUCGGAUUGUAAAGCACUGUAAGUUGGGAGGCGUUACCUACAGAAUAAGCACCGGCUAACUUCGUGCCAGCAGCCGCGGUAAUAC
rnacentral:rRNA from 1 species